GACCUCAAAUCAGGUAGGACUACCCGCUGAACUUAAGCAUAUCAAUAAGCGGAGGAAAAGAAACUAACAAGGAUUCCCCUAGUAACUGCGAGUGAAGCGGGAAGAGCUCAAAUUUUGAAUCUGGCAGUCCUGGCGUC
rnacentral:rRNA from 1 species